UUAAAAAGAAGACAUAUUGCUCCAUUUUAUGUCUGUGCUUUUGUGUGAAAUUCUCAUAACUGAAAUCUUAUUUCCUCCUUCCAACAUCUUGCCAUAAAGCAAAAUAGUGGAAGCAAAAAUAAUGCUGAUUAUAUGAAUGUCUAAAAAGUAACGCUGGCGAUAAUGUUGAAUCAGUUGAAUAACUGGAAUGUAAAAUGAUAUUUUUUUCCCCCCAAAGUAAAACCAUUUAAUAUUCUCCACAUGACACAAACGUUUCUUGGAAAAAUAUAAAAUUUGUGAAAUAAAUUCUCAGGCUGGAGUCAGAUCACUAACGAGACAAUCUACAGAUCCGUUUUCUCAGAAAGACAAAAGAAAGACAAUAGCAGCUCGGUUCUCAGCUCGUCUUCGUCCCAACAAACGUUUCAGAGAAUCUCUCGGAAAAUAACGGAGUUUGUUUCUCUGCAAAAGUAAAAGAAAAGUUACAACAAUAAUC